AUUUAACACAUUUGUGUAUUAAUUUUACUUCAGGACUGUAAAGUGUUACAAAAUUCUAGCUAUUAAAAGAGGGCAUUGCACCAAGUUAUGUUGUGUUGAGAACCACUGACCUAUAAUAUCUUUUUAUUGCCUUUAUUAUUUUGAAUGGACACAUAAUUAUACAAUUUAUGGGGCACAGUGUGAUAUUUUGAUGCAUGUAUAUCAUGAAUAGUGAUCAAAUCAGGGUAACUAGCAUAUCCAUCACCUCAACCAUUUAUCAUUUCUUUGUACAUGGAUAAAGAAAAUGUGGUGUAUCCAUUUGUCUGUUGACAAACACUUAGGUUUGGCCAUUGUGAAUAGUACUGCAAUAACCAUGGGAGUGCUUUCAUAUUGCUUUCCUUUCAAUAUGAUAUAUAUCUAUAUAUCUAUAUAUCUAUAUCUAUAUAUAUAUACACUCACAUACACACAUAUGGGGGAUAUAGAAAUGGAAGAAAGAAAGAAGAUCACAUUUUUACCUAACGCUUUCUUCUUUUCUAUUGUUACUUUCUUUAUAUUUUUAUCUUUGAAGCUCAGAUUUAUCAUAAAUGUUGUAUACAAUUUUAAAUAUUUUCCUUUUCCUAAUUGUUUGUGGUAGCAAAGUAACAUUCUGCUUUUAAGUUGCUAUAAUCCAAUUUUUAAUAGCCUUUUUUUUGUAUGAUGCAAUGGUUUGAAUGUUUUUCUCUCCAGAUCUCAUGUUGAAAACUAAUCCUCAAUGCAGCAGUAUUGAAAGGUGAGGCCUUUAAGAGGUGAUUGGGUUAUGAGGACUCUGCUUAAAUAAAUUGAAGCAUCAUUUAUGGAUUAAUGAAUUAGUGGAUUAUCACAGGAAUGGGACUGGUGGACCUUUAAGAGGAAUAUAUAUACACACACAUAUAUAUUUGUUCCAUUGAUCUAAGUUGGAAGGGAAGGUUUAGUAAGAAAUACGUAGUAUAAUAACUAACUGGUGGAGCCCUCUGAUGACUGAUGAUUCUGGCAGGUGAUUUUAUCUGCUCUAUAAUGUCAAAAUUUAAAAAUCAUAAUUAUGAAAAUUUUAACUAUAAAAUGUAAUACACUAUAAAAUACAGUUUUAGAUUUAUUCUGGUACCUCGUAAGUUUAUUGGGGUAGACUAUAUAAGACUAUAAAUCUUUAAUCUAUAAGCAUUAGAUUUUGGUCACAGUUUUGGCUAAAUAUUUAAUUUUUAAAAGAUUAAGCUAAAAGGUGUAUUAUUUGGUACUACACUCAUUGCUAUUGCUAUUAUUCUUUUGCUGCUAGAAGUUGAAAAGUUUGUUUCCUUAUUGAGAAUAUAAAUAAAACAAAUUACUUUGUGUUAACUUUCAAUAUAGACCAGGUCUUUAUGCUAUGUUUCUUGGGCAGAGAAGAGGAGGUCUUACCUGGAUUAUGUUGCACAAAACAAACAAAUGAAAAAUAAUGUAAUAGCCAAGCUCCCCCCUUGACCCUGCAAAUAGCUUAUAGAAGUAGCCUGAGAGUAUCAUAUUAUAAUUAUUCUGCUUAAUUUGCUCUUUAUUUAGAUUUAAAAUA
rnacentral:lncRNA from 10 species